CUUACUUACUUGAAAGAUCGCGUGUUUGCCAAAUUUCAGAUCCUGAGAGAAACUACCAUUGCUUUUACCUUCUUUGUUCAGCACCACCUGAGGAUAUUGAGAAGUACAAAUUGGGGAACCCUAAAUCAUUCCAUUACCUCAACCAGCGAGCAAGAACAGGAGAUAGACUCAUCUGUCGUUAAGGAUGAAAAGUCUAGAUUCCAUCUUAAAAUGACAGCUGAACUUCUCUUAUUUUCCUUCUUCCUU